rnacentral:rRNA from 1 species
CGGGGUGCAGCAGGCGCGAAAACUUCACAAUGGGAGAAAUCCCGAUGAGGGAAUUCCAAGUGCUAGCACUAUGUGUUAGCUGUUCUUUUGUCUAAAAAACAGAAGAAGUAAGGGCCGGGUAAGACGGGUGCCAGCCGCCGCGGUAAUACCCGCGGCCCGAGUGGUGGUCGAUAUUAUUGAGCCUAAAACGUCCGUAGCCGGUCUUGUAAAUCCUUGGGUAAAUCGGCCAGCUUAACUGUCCGAAGUCCGGGGAGACUGCAAGACUUGGGAUCGGGAGAGGUCAGAGGUACUUCUGGGGUAGGGGUAAAAUCCUGUAAUCCUGGAAGGACCACCGGUGGCGAAGGCGUCUGACUAGAACGAAUUCGACGGUGAGGGACGAAGCCCUGGGGCGCAAACGGGAUUAGAUACCCCGGUAGUCCAGGGUGUAAACGCUGCGGGCUUGGUGUUGGGGGUCCUUUGUGGGCGCCCAGUGCCGGAGAGAAGUUGUUAAGCCUGCUGCUUGGGGAGUACGUCCGCAAGGAUGAAACUUAAAGGAAUUGGCGGGGGAGCACAAGGGCGAAUCGC